rnacentral:rRNA from 1 species
UGGGGGAUAUUGCACAAUGGGCGAAAGCCUGAUGCAGCGACGCCGCGUGGGGGAUGAAGGCUUUCGGGUUGUAAACCUCUUUCGCUAUCGAACAAGGCCCGCUUAGGGUGGGUUGAGGGUAGGUGGAGAAGAAGCGCCGGCUAACUACGUGCCAGCAGCCGCGGUAAUACGUAGGGCGCGAGCGUUGUCCGGAAUUAUUGGGCGUAAAGGGCUUGUAGGCGGCUUGUUGCGCCUGCUGUGAAAACGCGGGGCUUAACUUCGCGCGUGCAGUGGGUACGGGCAGGCUUGAGUGUGGUAGGGGUGACUGGAAUUCCAGGUGUAGCGGUGGAAUGCGCAGAUAUCUGGAGGAACAACGAUGGCGAAGGCAGGUCACUGGGCCAUUACUGACGCUGAGGAGCGAAAGCAUGGGUAGCGAACAGG